rnacentral:rRNA from 1 species
UGAAUACGAGACGCUACGGCGUCGAAGCAGUCUAUGUCAUACUUCCAAGAAAAGCUUGCACUGUCAUAAACAAAUAAUGCCUGUACCAUAACCGACACAGGUGGGUAGGUAGAGUAUACUAAGGGGCGCGAGAUAACUCUCUCUAAGGAACUCGGCAAAAUGACUCCGUAACUUCGGGAGAAGGAGUGCCUUAUUUAUAAGGUUGCAAUAACAAGAUCCAAGCAACUGUUUAUCAAAAACACAGGUCUCCGCUAAGUCGUAAGACGAUGUAUGGGGGCUGACGCCUGCCCAGUGCCAGAAGGUUAAAGAAGUUGGUUAGCAUUAGCGAAGCUGAUAACUGAAGCCCUGGUGAACGGCGGCCGUAACGAUAACGGUCCUAAGGUAGCGAAAUUCCUUGUCGGGUAAGUUCCGACCCGCACGAAAGGCGUAAUGAUUUGGAUACUGUCUCAGAGAGGGGCUCGGUGAAAUAGACUUGUCUGUGAAGAUGCGGACUACCUGCACCAGGACAGAAAGACCCUAUGAAGCUUUACUGUAACUUGAAAUUGAAAUUGGACUUUAUUUGCGCAGUAUAGGUGGGAGGCAUUGAUAAUAUUCUUGCGGGAAUGUUGGAGCCAUCAGUGAGAUACCACUCUUGUAAUGUUAGAUUUCUAACUUUGGAUCAUUAUCUGGUCAAAGGACAGUUUCAGGCGGGCAGUUUGACUGGGGCGGUCGCCUCCUAAAUGGUAACGGAGGCGCACAAAGGUUUCCUCUGAACGGGUAGAAAUCGUAUCUAGAGUGUAAAGGCAUAAGGAAGCUUGACUGUGAGACCUACAAGUCGAGCAGGGACGAAAGUCGGUCUUAGUGAUCUGACGGGGCUGAGUGGAAAGGCCGUCACUCAACGGAUAAAAGUUACUCUAGGAUAACAGGCUGAUCUCCCCCAAGAGUUCACAUCGACGGGGAGGUUUGGCACCUCGAUGUCGGCUCAUCGCAUCCUGGGGCGGUAGUACGUCCCAAGGGUUGGGCUGUUCGCCCAUGAAAGCGGUACGCGAGCUGGGUUCAGAACGUCGUGAGACAGUUCGGUCCAUAUCCGGUGUAGGCGUUAGAAUAUUGAGAGGAGCCUUCUUUAGUACGAGAGGACCGAGAAGGACAUACCUCUGGUGUACCAGUUAUCGUGCCAACGGUAAACGCUGGGUAGCUAUGUAUGGAGAGGAUAACCGCUGAAAGCAUCUAAGUGGGAAGCCCACCUCAAGAUAAGUAUUCUCA